UCUCAUAAUCUCUUGUCAGUCAAUCUCAGUAUGGGAUUUUUCGAAAGUGCGUUGGAGUAUGUUGAGUUGUUUGGUUGACUGCUGAAGAAAUCGAGGAUCCUUGUUUGGUUGUCUUCAAAGUUUAGGAAAAAAAGAGAAAAUAUAUGCUAGAUCUUUGUUUGGUUUUCGAAAUUCUUUUGAUUACCGAUCUUCUAUCAUUUUUGUUUAAUGCAUUUAUAUAUGCUAGAUCAGUAGAAAUUAAAAUGGGUAUGACUCAAGAUUUCCUCAAGGCUGUUGAUCAAUAUAUCUUGGAGUCUGGAGGAACUUAAAAGUGUCUCUGCAAGUAUUCCAUUAGCAGGUGUGUUAAGGAGGUUGGUUUUUAUUUGUUUCACUCAAUUGUUGUACCUUCUGCACUUCAAUUUCUUGUAACAAAGUGUAAUUGUAACAUGAUUUGUCUCUUUUAUUAGGAUUUUUGUAAGUGUUUUUCAAUUUUGGUUGGAUGUUGGAAUGAGUGGUUAGCAUAUUUGGGUUAUGAGAAAAUGUGGGAAAGGAAAGUAGAGAGUGAAGUGCCAUGUAUUGAAUUUUCUAUUGUUUGGGAACAUAGAAAAUGCAACUUCUAAAUAUACCUUUUCCUUGGUUCUUUUUUAAAGAUUGGCACUUGCUAUUAGUUUAUAUUUCCUAUGUUAAGAGGAAAUUACCGAGAGGUAGUUGGGAGGCCCAGCUAAACAAUAUGCAGAAAAUAUGUUUUAUUAGUUCAAUCACAAUUCUAUUAUAUAAAACCAUAUUUGCAAUAAAACAUGUCAUAACCAUGUGGGUAUUCCGACGAAGAAUAAUCACCAACAAUGUAUAGGGAAAAAGAAAAAGGAAAAAAUAAUAAUAAUCCCAUUAGUCUAAAUAGAACAUUUGGAUGACAGAAAUUACAAGAACAAAAUAUGUUUUUUGCUUAAUCUUUUAUGGGCCAAACCUACUCUAAACUGGGGGUCGUUACGCCUCUUGUCCUUCUUCCGCCUCUUGUCCUCCUUUCCUAUCGAUGGUGUUUUGAUUCUUGAUCUUGAACAUGUCAAAAUUAUAAAAUGUUUUAUCCCAAUAGUAUGCUAUUUUUACUAGGAACAUGGUCCAUAUGACAAGGAGGAACCAUCCAAAAUAUGAUAUCAAGAUCAGGAUCAACAAAGUUGCAGCUACUGUUCCACUUAAGAACCGAACAUGACCCAAAAUAAGGAGAUAUCUUCCAUCAUCUUCAACUUUGACAGUUUUAUCAGGAUUAAGGAUUUCAUAAACCACAACUACCAUGAAAUAUAUAAAUGUUGCAAACAAGGAGAUUCGUAUAGCUAUAUUGUGUUGCACAAAUGGGGAAAUAUUAUCAUAUUGGUAUUUCGUAAGGACAGUUGAACCCAGAAUUGUAAGGAAAGAGAUGAAAGUUGAUGAAGCUCUGUCAUGAAAACAAUAAAUAAAUAAGUAGGAAAUUCAAUUAGAUUUAUGAAAAUCUUAGAAGUAAUAAUUAAAAAAAUUAGAUAAAUAUAAUCAAAUCAAUUAUUUUAUGUAAUUUUAGAGAGUAUUACACAGUAUCAUCUAAAUCAAUUAUAAUUUUUAAAUAUUAAAAGUACAUCUGAAAUAUGAAGAGUAACACUUUGUGUUUUAGUGGAUAAAACAACUAAUAUCCAACAUGUACAUUUGAAAAGUAACUGAUUGAAAUAAUAACUUAAUUUUCUUUUGAAAUUUAACCAAAAACUAGAGUUUGAAAAAUUGAGUGCUCACAAGUAGAAGAGCAUUGAGGGAAAAGAGUGAAAUGCCAAUGGUUGUAUUAUUUUUAUUGAAACCAUACAUGAGAGAAUUUUAAUGGGUUAAGACAUAUUUUCAAAUGAGUAUAUAUUAAAUGAAGGCACACGCACAGAUUAAAUUUAAUUAAUGAAGACUUAUGGUGAAAAUUAAUGAAACAUAAAGGUUGAAGGAAAAGAUUCAAAAUGAGUGUAUUGAAUUAAUCAAAUGGGUUGAGUAAGGUAAGAAUAUUGAAAACAAAAUGGAGGUGAAAAAAGGAACAAAAUGGGAAAAGGGCAUGAGGUAAAAGCCGUUGAGGCUUUUGAUGCAAGAAAAUGAUGGGGAAGAGAUCAGGAAUCAUGUGUAGGGCAUGAUUGGACAACCAUAAAAUAGCAGGCAGGACAUGAGAAAAGGCGAAAUACCUUGGUUGUGUGGCCAUGGCAGAUAUUGUAGAUGCUGUUGCUCUUACUUUGAAGCCUGCAGGGAGGGGGGGAGGGGAAUGUGGGAAUGUUAGCUCUACUUUGAAGCCUGAAUGGGACUGUUGCUCUUACUUUGAAGUCUGAAGGGAGGAGAGGGAGGGGAAAGUGGGAAUGUUUGCUCUACUUUGAAGUCUGAAUGAGGGAGGGGAAUGUAGUGUGCUGUUGGGAAGGGGAGGGAGCAUGUGCUUUAUAUUGCUACAUAUGGUAUAGAUUAACAUUGCUAACAGGUGGUAACUUUAUAUUUUCACUUGAUAUUGCUAACUUUAUAUUGCUACCAGGUGCUAACUUUAUAUUGCUAAGAGGUGCUAACUUUAUAUUGCUAACAGGUGCUAACUUUAUACUUCACUUGAUAUUGCUAACUUUAUAUUGCUAACAGGAAGAAUACUCCGCUUUGGUGCUAACUUUAUAUUGCUAACUUGAAGAAUACUCCGCUUUGGUGCUAACUUUAUAUUGCUAACUUGAAGAAUACUCCGCUUUUGCCACUUUAUAAUGCUAACUUUAUAUUGACAAUCAAUGAGACCAUCUUCGUCUCAUUGAUUGAGGGACCUUUGUCUUGUUAGUUUAGUCAAUGCUUGCAUAUUUAAAAAUCCCUAUAUACAAAAAUAAAAAUAAAACUCUUUGCUACAAUGUAAUAAUGUAAAUCAUUAAAUACUAACUAAUAAGUGAUUUAUUUUAUCAUCAAUCAUUUUAUUAUUCUUCAUUUACCUAAUAUAUCUUCUCUUAAUUGAUGUAAGUUGGGAUAUAAUUUUCUUUUAUUUUUAACGGUUUUAAUUUUAUUACUUAAUUUUAUAAAUAGAAAUUUGUUAUCAAAUUUUAUUAUCAAGUUUUGAAGUUAGAAAAUAAUAAUAAGAUAUAAUGUUUAACUAUUGCAACCACUUUACAAAUUAGUUUCUCCAUUUAUCAAUAUUUAUCACAAGUUUAUAAAUUUACCAAAAAUUCUUCAUCAAUUAUUAAUUUAAAAAAAAAUAUUAUGAUCAUUUCACUUAAAAUUAUACAACAUAAAUAAUCAUUUAUCAAUUUUUUUUUCUAUCGUAUGCUAAUGAGUGAAUAAUGGAUGGUAAAAGUAUAAAAUAAUAAUAAUAAUAAUAAUAAUAAUAAUGAAUACAUUUUGUUUUUAUUAUUUAUUUUUCACUACUAACAAGUAAUCACUUGAUACUUGUGGACCCGACAUUUUUAAUGAUGCGUUCCCACUCGAUCGGCGAGACUCACUUUUCGUUGAUUUGGUGAAAAAUAUGUUUUUUUUUUAGAAAAGACUUGGAGUCGCCACUUACUUUUAUUUAUUUUUGAAGGGGAAAACAAGUAAGAAUAAAACCCCUAAAUGUACUCCUGAUUUUUUUUUGGAAAAGCUGUCUGCGAAAAACCUAAGUCUGGGUCCGGGGAUCAGGUUACUUAUUAGGAAGGUACGGUAAAGACCGUAGCACCCCUCUAAGCCCCUAAAAAAAGGGUCUCUACUAAAUAAGAUAAAGUAGAUAUGACAGUUAACUAAGAGAUCAAUGGGUACCAAAAUGAUCACAGUUCAAAAAUAAUUCAUGAUAACGAAAUAAUAAAUAAAGUGAGAGUGAGAGUGUACCUUAUUAGCAGGUAAUAAAGCGCUGUCAUGAAAACAAGGUUAGUGUACAAUGACAAGUGUAAAAACAAUCCCAUAUAAAACCAAAUCAAAAUCAAACAAAAUUGAGAGCACAACUUGAAUUAUUUUCAAAAAAUGUUAUGAAUGUCGGGCCCCCACCAAAGCCCAAUUUAUUUUUGCUAAGAAUUAAUUCUCAUAAAUUCCAUCAUUUUGGAAUUAUGAAAACUUAUUCAUUUUAAAAAAAAAAAUUUGAAAAUAGGAAUUUUGAAAAUUAAAUGUGAAAUUUCGGAAGUGGAAUUUAAAAAAAAAAAAAAAAAGUUUGGAAAUCUCUUUGAGAAUGGCAUUUCAAAAUAAAUAAAUAAAAAAUAUUUAAAAAUAAAAUAAAAUAAAAAAUGAAUAAAUAAAUAAAUUUGAAUUUUGGAAAAUGGGAAUUUCGAGAACGGAAUUUUGAAAAAAUUAAAUUAAAAAAUUGGAAAUUUGGAAAGAUUAUUUUGAAAAUGGAAUUUCGAAAAAUUAAAUUUAAAAAUCGGAAAUUUGGAAAAUUGAAAUUUCGAGAAUGGAAUUUCGGAAAAUUAAACUUAAAAAAUGAAAUUUUGGAAAAUUAUUUCGAAAAUAGAAAUUUUUGUAAAAUUGGAAUUUUUGAAAAUCGGAACGUGAAGAUCGAAGUUUUGAAAAUCAUAUUUUUGAUGUAUGAGAAUAAAAAAAAUAAAUAAAUAAAAGAUGGUACGUAGUCGAUGGGACUCGCAUCCCGAAAGGUGGCCAUGCAUGACCAUAAUAAAAUGUUUAACGCUGAGAAUUAUCAACAAUAACCUAGUGAAAUAGUGAACUAAAAAAAAACAAUUUUUUUUUUUUGCCAUACAACUAAAAAAAAACUUAAUGAACUUUAAAAAAACCUAAAAUACUCUAAUCAACUAAAUGAAAUAAAUUAAAUUAAAACUAAUUUAGAAAAGGCAUUUUACCAUAUGACUAAUUAAUCUAGUAAAAAUAACUUUAGCUUUAAUCACCCAAUUAAACUAAAGAUUUAAAGACUCCAACUUUUCAUUCUCAUAAGAAAUUUAACUAAAACUAAAAUUUUAAUUGCUCUAACUUUUAUCUAUAUUAAAAUAAUAUCUAAAACUAAAAAUAAGCAAAAUUACUAUUGAAAACUAAAAUUUUUAAAUCUCCAGUGUUUAUUUACAUUAAAAUAAUAUUUAGAAAAAAAAAUACUAACUUUCCUAUUAACAUUAAAAAAAUAGCUAAAACCUAAGUGUUAAAAAAUCUAAUUUUAAUUAACCUUCUACACGAAUUUUACCUUAAAAAAAUCAACCAUUAUAUUUAUCUACGUGCAUUUUGAAGAAACCAUCACAUAUUGAUUGCACUAACUUAUUUGAUAUCUAAAAUCUAAAAUACUAACACACAUGGUCGCAUAUUAUAUUACUUAAUAUCUAAAACCUAAAACCUAAAAAUUAACUCAAAACUAUUAUUUUUAACACUCUAACUUUUAUUAAUAUUGAAUUAUCUAAAACAAAUAAUAAUAAUAAAAAAAGCAACUUUAAAAUUAUCACCUCCAAUCGUCCAAAGCAAAUCCAUACAAAAAAUUAACUUGAAAUUAGUAAUAAUAAUUAACAAUAAUAACUAAAAAAAAUUAUUCAAAAGUUAACAACUAAAAAAAUUAGCUUGAUUUAUAUUUAUAUUUUUAUCAAUCAUUAAUAUAUCUUAUAGAAAUUCAUUGGAUUUUUAUGUGAUUUUAUAACAAACAACAUGCCACUCAUACAUAUUCCUACAUACAUUCACUAGAAUUUUUUUAUUUAUUCAAUAAACUCAUACCACUAACAUAUUUUAUAGCUAGCCACAAUCACAUACGCAAUCAAAUUUCAGCCACUCAUACAAAUAGUCAUUAACUUUGUCAUGGUCGGCUUGCACAAAGCUCCGUUAGUGGCUGCAUAUUCAACCAUUAAAAAAUCAGCCUCAUUCUUCAUUAAGGCCAUACCUAAAUCAUGGAUAAUUUCAAUAGAAUUUCAGCUAUCAACUUUCUUCUAUGCAAACUUCAAAUUUAUUAAAAUUCAAGUAUAUUUCCAUUUUGAAUUAAAGCAAACUUUCAGCCAUAACUUUCAGCUCGUUUAUAAAUGGUCCUUCACCAAAUUUUCAGCAUAUUUCACUAUGGAUUUUCAGCCAUGAGAAAGUUUCUAUCCACAGCCACAAGUUCAGCCCUGAGAUUCAGCACACCUAUGCAGCCUUAUGUCCUUAUUUAUCCACCAAAACCUUACUCCGUUGAUUUUAGACCACAAAAUUCACACAUGCUGCCACUUCCUCCAUUAAAACUCACCAAUGCGGCAUGAAUUUCAUCCUUAAAAUCUCCAUAUCCAAUCCUUGAAAUUUGAGCAGAAUACAUUAUGUAAAACCUUAGCAUACCUCCACCCGAAUUUCACUUGUGAACUCACGCAUAUGCAGCCACAAACAUAGUGUUGCCUGACCAUCAGAAUUUCCUAUUAUUUAUAACUGAACCAGACUCCAAAUUCAUGUACCUGCAGUCACUGGGAUUUGUCUUUCCUUCAUUACAUUUUCACCAUAAAUUUUUGGCCAUUGAAUUCUUCAUCAACAACACCAAAUUUUAGCCACGUAGCCUCUUUAAUUCGGUCAAGAAUAUUACUUCAACAACCAUGGGAUCUUCACAUGCACACCUUCGAUUUUUUUAGUCACUUACAUUUACCUAUGCAACUAUACUAAAUUUCCAUCCACUUUAAACAUUAAAAUAAAAAUAAAAAAUAAAAAACACAGAUUGUUAUCAUGAUCACAACCAACCACAUUAAUUCAAUACAUUUAUAUAUCAAUGUGUUCCAAUUUCAUGGAAUUCCAACGUGCUUUCACUACAAUUUCAGCAACUAUCCACUUGAAUUUCCAGAAUAUUCAGCAAACAUGGCCAUUAUUUCAUGGUGAAAGAUAUUUCAAUUGCAACUACACAGAAUGGUGAAGAUUGAAUUAAACCAUUGAUAGACCCAAGUGAAGAUGGCAGCGAAGAGGGUGGCCUCAAUCACCUAAAUCAGUUUUCAAGUAUCAGAGUGAAGGGAGUUCCAGCCUCACGGGCCCAAAAAUGGGUUUAGAAGUAGAGAAGUUGCAUAAGGGGAUAGCAACAAUAACAAAGUAAAAAUAAACGGGCCAAAAGAUUCCCUUAAAUGCAGCCCCAUUCCAUGGGUUGUCAAUGGGCUUCCAAAGCAAGUGGGAGAUAUCAUAGGUUCAGAUAAGAAUCAAAGACAUGGUUCUCAGAUAUUUCACAGUAGGAUGAAACAAAGUCAGGUUGCUUUCUGUCAUAAUUAAAAAGAAUAAUAGAUAGGACAAUAGCAAGAAAACCCUGUCAUCUCAAAGAUCAACAGAAAUCAAACAUGCAAGAUAUCCACAUUCAGACCAUAGCAAUGAUACCCAUAGAUGGCAAGAGAAAAGGAAGAACUCCAUGAUAUUGAAGAAUAACGAUGAAUCUGUCACGAUCAUACCUGAAUAUGCUUCCCUCCUACGGUUGAUAAAAUGACCAGCCCUCUUUACCAGAAUUUCUCCACCUCCAUUUUUUAGAAGACCUCUUCGUUUUUUUUUUUUUUUCUUCUCCAAACCUCUACUCCAGACCUCUUCUUUUCCUGCAGACUUUCAAAAAAACCUCUUCUUUUUCUUGCAGACUUUCAGAAAAAAAAACCUUUUUUUUUUUUUAUCAGACUCCUCACAUCGUUCUUAAAAACCUCUCAUCUUUGCCGAUCUCUUCAUCUCCUUCUCAAAAUCCUCAACUUCUUUAAAAAACUCUAUUCCCCACUCUGUAGACACCCUUUCCAAAAAAAACUAUCCUCUUUCCCAGAUCAACUUACCUGUCUCUUCCCCAUAAAACCCCUUUUACAUCACCAACCCCUUUUUUUUUUUUUUUUUUUUUUUUGAAAGGUGGCAGCCCUCGUCUUGCAUCUUUUGGGAGUUACCAAACUCCCAUGCAAAAUAAAUAAAUAAGUAACUACAAAAAAAAAAAAAAAAAACCUUAUAAUAAUAACAAUAAUAAUAAUAAAAUCAUGCUAAUUGGAAACAAAAAUAGAAAAUAUGAAUACAUGCAUAUACGAGAAAAACCUAAGGAUUAAUUCAUGCAAUAAUGAUAAUAAUAAUAAAUAAAUAAUAAUAAUAAUAAGAUCACCAAUCACAUGCAAUUCUCUGAAAAUAAAUUAAAUAGAUAAAUAAAGAAAUAAAAUAAGAACAAUAAAUAAAUACCAAAUGCAUAUAAUUAAUAAUCUAAAUAUUAAACUAAAAUACAAUAAGAAAUUAAAUUUAAAAAAAUAAAAAGAAACAAACAACCAAAAUAUCAAAUUGACACAAUUAAAUAUCAAAAAUUCAUCUCAAGCAAUCUAAAUCAAAAUCAAGCCAAAUACUCACCUAAUUAAAAAAAAUCAAGCAAUCAAAAAAUUAAUCUUAGGGAAUUAAACCCAAAAAAGCAUCUAAGUGACCUAGGCCAAAAAGUGUCUAAGUGACCUAAGUGAUGUAGGGUGAUUAGAAAUGUGUCAAUUGACCUAGGAGUGUACCUAAUGGGCCAAGUGCAUCUAAAUGAGCCUAGAGUGCAAAAGUGGGCCUAAGAUGGUGUCCAAUGGGUCAUCAGAGAAUUAUCGUAAAAUAUCAAAUGGACACAUAAUAGAACAUGUGCUAGUAGGACAAAACAGAGGGUCUACAAUACCUUUGUAUGAGGUUGAGGUCAUGGUGAUAGUAGUGAACCAUUUUAUAUAAUGUUGGGGAACUUGGAAGUCUGUGAAUUUAGGACAAAACACAACUAUAUAUAUUAAAAAGAAAACGAAAAUCCUUGUUAGAGUCUAAUAAUGAAAUCAUCAACCCAUACUACCUAUUUAUUAAGUGAUUUAUUUAACCUUUAAUUAUUUUUCCUAUUUUUAUUUGUUUAGUAUAUCAUCCCUUAAUUAAUGUAAGUUGGAAUGCACUUUCUCUCCAUAACUUUAAUUUUGUUUUUUCAUUUUAGAAUAGAAAAAUAAAGACUUUUAAUUAAUAAAAGUUGGGAAAUACUUUUCUUUUCCUUUUUUUUAAGGAAUUUUAAAAAUUUUAUUUAAUUUUAANNNNNNNNNNNNNNNNNNNNNNNNNNNNNNNNNNNNNNNNNNNNNNNNNNNNNNNNNNNNNNNNNNNNNNNNNNNAAAACAACUUCUCACAUCGAAAUAUCCUUCAUCUAACCAUGGUGGAAAAAGUUAUUAACAGUGGCUCACACUUGAUUCUUAAUUGUCUAAUAAUAUUUUGAAAAACAACCCUCCAAUAGUUUUCUAUAGUAGGUUUUAAAAUCGCUUUUCAAUUAUUUUUAGGAAUAAAAUUAUUUGAGAACUUAGAAUAUAAAAACAUUUUUCCCCAUCUUGUCCCUUAUUAAUUUAUAUGUAUUACAAAAGUUUUUAAAGAAUAUUUUUCAUAUUUUUAAUUGUUGUGCAUAACAUUUUACAAAAAAUAACUAAAAACAAUUAAAAUUUAUUCUAAAAAAUAAUUUGUUUUCAAAACAAUUUAAAAUAUAAAUAUUUUCUAUAAAAUGUUAAUCAAAUUUGUUUUGGACUUAAAAAUUUAUUUUCUAUUUUAAAGACUAAAAAACUCAAUAAUGGUUUUCAUAUAUAUAUAUAUAUAUAACAUGUAUCAUAAAUUUAUUCUUUCCAUAUUUUUUAUAUUACUUAUUUUAUAAAAUAAAAAAUUUUAGUUCAAUAAAUCAUUUUGCAUAAUUCUCUUAUUAUUUAUUUUGUGUAUUUUUAUAAUUAAAUUUCAUCAUUAUUUUUGUGUAUAUUGAUUUUCACUAUGACUUGUACAAAUUCAUUUGCUUGAUUAUUUUUCUUGAUAUCCAUAAUUAAUUAAUUGAUUGUCAUAAUUUUCUUAAUUUGUUUAAUAGAGGCUUUAUGUAUACGAGCUUAGAGGGGUACUAAACCUCACCACUGUACCUUCCCAAUAGGUAACUUGACUCUCGAACCGAGACUCGAUUUUUCACAAACCUAUUUUUCCUUCAGGAGUUACACUUAGAGUUUUUCUUUCUUAUUUUAUUUUUCCCUUAAAAAAAUAAAACAAAAAUAAGUGGUGACUCUAAGUUUUUUUUUUUAAAAAAAAAAAAAAAAAUCAAGUUUUCACAAAAUAAAUAUAAAAAACGAGUUUUGUCAUCGAAUGAGAACGCAUCGAGCGGAAACGCAUCAAGCGAAAUACGGGGUCCAUAUCAUGUCUCAUUAUCCGUCUUGGCCAUGGAAAAUAAUCAACUCUUCCACCAACAAAAUAAGAGAUUCAAAUUGAUGAAUAUAAUUCAUAAUGUAUAUGGAAAUUAUAGAUUCUAUGGAUUUAACAUCUGAUAAGUCUACUUGUUUAGAUUUGGGUCCUUAGCCAGCUAUCCCACUUUUGGAUUUACUUGUGCUUAGUUUGUAACUGAUAUUUUGUUUUACUGGUUUUCAUUUUUAAGCUUUAAAUAUGUUUUUUUUCUUUUUUUCUUUUCUUUUUUUUAUAAAAAAAGAGAAUCAAAUCUUAUGAAUCAUAACUUGAUUAUGUUGUUAUUCUAACUUUAAGGUUAUAUUUAAUUCUCGAAAAGUAUUAAAGAAAAAAAAUGUUAAAAAAAUGGUUUUCUAUUGUCUUAUUAAAAAUGUAUAAAAAAAUGGUUUUCUAUUAACACAGGCUCACACUUGAUUCUUAAUUGUCUAAUAAUAUUUUGAAAAACAACUCUCCAAUAGUUUUUCUAUAGUAGGUUUUAAAAAUGCUUUUCAAUUAUUUUUAGGAAUAAAAUUAUUUGAGAACUUAGAAUAUAAAAACAUUUUUUCUCAUCUUAUCCCUUAUUAAUUUAUGUGUUACAAAAGUUUUUAAAGAAUAUUUUUCAUAUUUUUAAUUGUUGUUCAUAACAUUUUACAAAAAAUAACUAAAAACAGUUAAAAUUUAUUCUAAAAAAUAAAAAAUAUAUAUAUUUUCUAUAAAAUGUUCAUCAAAUUUGUUUUGGACUUAAAAAUUUAUUUUCUAUUUUAAAGAAUAAAAAACGCAAUAAUGGUUUUCAUCUAUAUAUAUAUAUAUAUAUAUAUCACAUGUAUCAUAGUUUUAUUCUUUCCAUAUUUUUUAUAUUACUUAUUUUAUAAAAUAAAAAAUUUUAGUUAAAAAAUUAAAUUUUAAAUUUUAAAACUAAAAAAUUUAACAUAAUAUAAAAUAAUAUUAUAAAAUUUAACAAAUUUUUUUUAUAAAAUAAUAUUAUUAUAUGAAUUAUUCAAUAUAUAAAAAUUAUUUUUAUAUAUUAUAUAAUAUAAUAUAACAUAUCUCAAAGAAUACUAUGUUCGUUAAAUAUAAUAUUUUAUUAAAAAUGAUAUGGUAAAACAUACAUAUCUUAUCCCAUCAACUAAAUAUGAUAUUUAGGUUUGACAAUACAUGAUUCAUGCACCAUGGGAUUAUGAGUAUGAUGACAUUGUGGAAGGUUAAACUUUUUUAAUAUUACUUGUUUCUAAAUUCCCUUAAUAGGUUAUGUUUCUUAAAAAAAUUGUAUUUUGAAAGGCUCACACAUGACUCAUAAUCCCUAUUGGCUGAUGUCAUGGAAAAUGACUCUCCCACCAGGAUAAGAAAUUUAAAUUAUUGAAUAUAAUUUCAUAAUGCAUAGGGAGAUUAUAAAUUAUAUGGAUUCAACAAUUGAUAAACUUACUUGUUUAUAUUAUUGUCCCUAGCCAACUAUCCCACUUUUGGAUUUAUUUUUGGUGCGCUUAGUUUGUAACUCAUCUUUUGUUUUGCUUAUUUUCAAAUUUUUAAGGUUUUGAUAGAUUGAAAAUAUAAAAAAAAAAUCUUUCGAGCCAUAACUUGAUUAUUUUGUUAUUCUUAUUUUUAAUCAUAUUUUCAAUGAGAAAUUGGGUCUUUUUUGGUAGAAUUGUAGGAAGUGGAUUGAGCAGAAAAAUUUAUUUGGGCCAAUUUGUAUUUCACCAGAUGACCCAGGCCAUUCUUAGCUUGGCCUAGUGGGCCUUAGGAAUAGCUCAAACGGCUGAAAAUUUAACUCCUAGACUAGGCCUGGCCUAAGUGUGAAAUUCACGUCAAAAUGAAUUCUUCUUUCCUAAAACUAAUUAUUUUAGAAAUAAUUUAAUAUCUUAAAAAGAUAUUUUAUAUUUUGUUCCCUAGAAACUUUUAUGUAAUGCACAUAAACUUUAAUUGAAUUUGAUUACUAAAAUCCUAAACAGUUGUAAUCCUAAUAAAUUUGAUUAAAUUGAACUCCAGCUACCUUAUAUUACAUAGAUUUUAAAACUAAAAAAUAAUUAAUUAAUUAACCAAAAAUAUACAUAUGUUCUAAAUCAUGUCUUCUACUCACUUUCCCGGGUCAUAAGUUGUGCAUUUUUUUUUCCAUUAUUGACCCAAUUUUUUUUUAUUAGUAUAAUGUUUGUCUCUUAAAACAAUUGAAAUUUGAAAAAAACUGAAAUAUGAUUAAACAAUAAAAAGACAAAUAAGUAAACUUAGUAAGUGAUAAAUUCUGGAAAUGAUAUCAUUAUUUGGCAUAACAUAAUAACAAAUAAUAUAUUCAUUUGAAUUUUUAACCCCACAUUCAUAUUUUAAGUAAAGACAAAAAAAAAAAAAAAAAACUUUAAAGCAAGAAAAAAGAUUGUUUUUCUUAUAACUUUUAUAGUUUCAUCUCACAUCACUUAUUCACAUGCUUGUAUUUUUUUUUUUUUCAAUCUUAUUCAUACAAUUUGAAAAUCCACUUGUAAGGAAAAAUACAUAAGCUUGAAAUGCAAUUGAGGAAUUGAGUCCUAAUCACAUUUAAUGACAUGGGUAUUAAAUUAACAAGCUAUUAAUGCUAAACAAAUGCUUUUGUCAUUAUAAUUUUUUAUAAUAAGGUUUUGCUAUCAUUUCAAGCUUCAAAGCUAUAAAUCAAGGCCUUGAAAAAACCACCAGACAAGGUUUGUGCUAUGAAAACAUUUCUAGAAAGCAAGGAGUGCAAAAAUAAUUUGACAUUAAUCUAGGGUAUUUUGUGCCGGAGAGAUUCCCUUUCUUCUAUUUGCUGUUUUUGCUUCCUCAUUUUCACAGGGAGGAAUUUGACACCUCAGUCCUUUUUUUUUUUUUUUUUUUUUAACAAAAAAUAUUCUGAGGAAGAUGGUGACUUGAAAACUAUUGAGAAAAAUAUCCCCACAUAGUGGCAAAGAAAAUAAUAAUGAUAAUAAUAAAGGCAGCUCGGUUGGCCUCAUUUCGAAGCUUAGGGACCCGAGAGAAGCUGAACUAAAAGAGACUCAAGAGCGUGUUCAACACCCUGUCCUAGUGCCAAUCUCGAUCUUUCUCUCCAGAUCUCGCCGGCGGCGAUCUCUCAUAAUCUUAAGUCAGUCGAUCUCAUUUUUUGUAGGGUUUAGAAAUUGGGCAACAGUAUGUUGAGUUUUUUGGUUGUGAUUGCUGAAGAAAUUGGGGAUCUUUAUUUGAUUGUCGUCAAAGUUUAUAAAAGAAAGAGAAAACAAAUUUCUUUGGAAUAUUGCAAAGGUUUUUCAGGAGUUUUUAGGCUGAUGAUGCGAUUUUUAGUGGCUUCAAAAUUUCUGCAGCUUGGUUGUUAAUUUGGAGACACAUUUGUUGUGUUGUCGUUGCAGUGGAAUGUUCUGAGCUUACAGGGGUUUGUGUUCAUGUGCAAUCUGUCUUACCUUCAUUUUAUUUAGUAUAAAGUUUAAAUCUUUGAGACAGAUAGUUUCUAUUCGGGGGAGAGAAGAGUGGUUGUUGAGUAUAAAGUUUAAUUUUUGUAUGUUAAUAAUAACAACAUUUGAAUUAAUUACUUGUAUGAGAGGAGAAAGAUGCAAGUGAUAAAUAGAGAUUCCAAAUAUCUAAUGGGAAGUUUUUGAGUUGAUGAUGAGCUAAGCUGAUUUCUUAAAAUCUUUCUGCUCACUGAGCUUCGUUUAUUUACUGAUCUUCUGUUUUUUUUUUUAAUGGAUUUAUAUACGCUAGAUCAGUAGAACUUAAAAUGGGUAUUACACAAGAUUUCCUCAAGGCUGUCGAUCCGUAUCUCUUGGAGUUUUCAGGAGGUUGGUUUUUAUUUGUUUCAUUUAAUUGGAGUACAUUCAGCACUUCAAUUUGUUGUAAGAAAGCGUCUCUUUUAUUAGGAUUGUUGCAAGCGUUUUUCAAUUUUGGUUGGAUCUUGAGAUGAGAGGUUUACAUAUUUUUGAUAUAAGAAAAUGCGGGGAAGAAUAGUAGAUAGCAAAAUGCUAUAUGUGGGAUUUUCUAUUGUUUGGGAACAUAGAAAAUGCAACUCCUAAAAAAACCUUUCCCUGGGUUCUGUUUUGUGUAAGAAUGGGAAAGAUUAGCAGUUGAUGUUAGUUUAUACUUCCCAUGUUCAAGGGAUAUUAUGGAGAGGUAGGUGGGAGGCCUAGCUAAACAAUAUAUAAAACCAUGUUGGCAAUGAAACAUGUCGGAAUUUGAUCUUUAAAUAUGGAUAGCACCAUAAGUGGAAAUAACUGAGUACAAAAAACAUUUGAGGGUAACACUUUAAAUAUAGAAGCAAAUUAUUUCUAAGAUAGUACAAAAGACAAAUUGCUUAAUCUUCUUUGGUAAUGGCCUACAGGGUAACUGCUCCUCUUGUCCUCUGUGCCUCCAUCGCUGGUGUUGUUUUGAGUCCUGAAGAUAUCAAAGUGAUAAAAUGGUUUAUUCAAGUAGCAUAUAUGUAAA
rnacentral:lncRNA from 1 species